AACAUCGCGCACCUGCGGGAACCUGCGGAGGGAUCAUUAAUGAUUGGUGGCUGUUGCUGACUAGUGUUUCUAGUAUGUGCACGCCACACCUUCAAUCCCACUUACACCUGUGCACCUUCUGUAAUAGAUCUGUGGAUACGGAGAUAUGAAAGUUUGCGCUCUCGUACUCUGUUGAAGCAGUCUACUACGUUUUUUUACACACACACAAUAGUCAUUGAAUGUAUUUUUUAUUCUUAUGAU
rnacentral:misc_RNA from 1 species